UACGUAGGGUGCAAGCGUUGUCCGGAAUUAUUGGGCGUAAAGAGCUCGUAGGCGGUCUGUCGCGUCGGCUGUGAAAACCCGAGGCUCAACCUCGGGCCUGCAGUCGAUACGGGCAAACUAGAGUACUGCAGGGGAGACUGGAAUUCCUGGUGUAGCGGUGAAAUGCGCAGAUAUCAAGAGGAACACCAGUGGCGAAGGCGAGUCUCUGGACAACUCCUGACACUGGAGGCACGAAAGCUAGGGGAGCAAACAGG
rnacentral:rRNA from 1 species